rnacentral:tRNA from 1 species
GCCCCCGUAGCUCAGUGGAUAGAGCAGGAUCCUCCUAAGGUCAAGGCCAUCCGUUCGAGUCGGAUCGGGGGCGCUA